GCCAGCCCGCUCAAGAAACUACAAAGGAAGUUGACGGGGCCCGGCACAAGCGGCGGAGCAUGUGGAUUAAUUCGAUGCAACGCGAAGAACCUUACCUGGGCUUGACAUACACCGGAUCGGGCUAGAGAUAGUCUUUCCCUCGUGGCUGGUGUACAGGUGGUGCAUGGUUGUCGUCAGCUCGUGUCGUGAGAUGUUGGGUUAAGUCCCGCAACGAGCGCAACCCUUGUCUUAUGUUGCCAGCAGUUCGGCUGGGCACUCUAAAGGGACUGCCGGUGUUAAACCGGAGGAAGGUGGGGAUGACGUCAAGUCCUCAUGGCCUUUAUGACCAGGGCUACACACGUACUACAAUGGCCGAUACAAAGGGCAGCGACACUGCGAGGUGAAGCCAAUCCCGUAAAAUCGGUCUCAGUCCGGAUUGGAGUCUGCAACUCGACUCCAUGAAGUUGGAAUCGCUAGUAAUCGUGGAUCAGCAUGCCACGGUGAAUACGUUCCCGGGCCUU
rnacentral:rRNA from 1 species